rnacentral:rRNA from 1 species
UACGGAGGGUGCAAGCGUUAAUCGGAAUUACUGGGCGUAAAGGGUGCGUAGGUAGUUUUUUAAGAUAUCUGUGAAAUACCUGGGCUUAACCUGGGAAGGUCAGAUAAGACUGGAAGACUUGAGUAUAGGAGAGGGUAGUGGAAUUUCCGGUGUAGCGGUGAAAUGCGUAGAGAUCGGAAGGAACACCAGUGGCGAAGGCGGCUACCUGGCCUAAUACUGACACUGAGGCACGAAAGCGUGGGGAGCAAAC